GAUGAACGCUGGCGGCGUGCCUAAUACAUGCAAGUCGAGCGAACAGACGAGGAGCUUGCUCCUCUGACGUUAGCGGCGGACGGGUUAGUAACACGUGGAUAACCUACCUAUAAGACUGGGAUAACUUCGUGAAACCGGAGCUAAUACCGGAUAAUAUAUUGAACCGCAUGGUUCAAUAGUGAAAGACGGUUUUGCUGUCACUUAUAGCUGGAUCCGCGCCGCAUUAGCUAGUUGGUAAGGUAACGGCUUACCAAGGCAACGAUGCGUAGCCGACCUGAGAGGGUGAUCGGCCACACUGGAACUGAGACACGGUCCAGACUCCUACGGGAGGCAGCAGUAGGGAAUCUUCCGCAAUGGGCGAAAGCUUGACGGAGCAACGCCGCGUGAGUGAUGAAGGUCUUCGGAUCGUAAAACUCUGUUAUUAGGGAAGAACAAAUGUGUAAGUAACUAUGCACGUCUUGACGGUACCUAAUCAGAAAGCCACGGCUAACUACGUG
rnacentral:rRNA from 1 species